UACGUAGGGUGCAAGCGUUAAUCGGAAUUACUGGGCGUAAAGCGUGCGCAGGCGGUGAUGUAAGACAGGUGUGAAAUCCCCGGGCUUAACCUGGGAACUGCAUUUGUGACUGCAUCGCUGGAGUGCGGCAGAGGGGGAUGGAAUUCCGCGUGUAGCAGUGAAAUGCGUAGAUAUGCGGAGGAACACCGAUGGCGAAGGCAAGCCCCUGGGCCUGCACUGACGCUCAGGCACGAAAGCGUGGGGAGCAAACAGG
rnacentral:rRNA from 1 species